GACGAACGCUGGCGGCGUGCCUAAUACAUGCAAGUCGAACGCAGUGGGGACGGGUGAGUAACACGUGGGUAACCUCCCAUCAGAGGGGAUAACACUUUGAAACAGGUGCUAAACCGAUACUGAUGGAUGGACCCGCGGUGCAUUAGCUAGUUGGUGGGGUACCGGCUCACCAGGGCCACGAUGCAUAGCCGACCGGAGAGGGGGAUCGGCCACACUGGGACGGAGACAGGGACAAGACUCCUACGGGAGGCAGCAGUAGGGAAUGUUCGGCAAUGGACGAAAGGAUGACCGAGCAACGCGGCGUGAGUGAAGAAGGUGUUCGGAUCGUAAAGCUCUGUUGUUAGUGAAGCGGUAUCUAACCAGAAAGCAACGGCUAACUACGUGCCAGCAGCCGCGGUAAUUC
rnacentral:rRNA from 1 species